ACCCUAAUCUUACUCCCAAACGGCACUGCCCUAUUCCUGCCAUACCUCUGCCGUGUUUCAACCCACCAAAUUCGCCAAACUCAAGCGAGUUCACUCGCACACACCCCCCAUCUCACCACGUCAUCAAGAUGCUAACGGUCUCUGACAGAUUCUCUCAUCCUCUCCUCUCCUCUCACGUGUUGGAAGCCUCUAGAAGGCAUAUGCUGGAUGAAUGGGGAGCGUGAGAUAGAUUUCAAUUGAUCCCAGCCCUUCAUUCAUCAGGUUUUUGCCUGAUAAUUAGAGGAAUUUUGGAAGAAGACGACUAGAGACAAAUUUUCAAAGAAAGUUUUGAGAGGUAAAAGUUUUAGGGCUAGGUCGAUUUUUAGAUUUUCCUUCUGAUUUUCUGGUCUUCUCUUAAACAUAUAGAAAUCUCUUCAGUUUUUCUUUUAUUUGGGAUAUCAGAAAAAAUAAAAUAAAAAUAAAAAAAGGUUUUGUUUCCUCUGUUUCAAUUUCGAAAUUUUGGUUGUUAAAUGGAGUUUGAUUGAAGUUCAAAUUUUAGUUUGUGUUUGGGUUCGGAAUUCCGGUGUCGAUUCGAGGUCCGCUCAUGAAUUUCGGUCGCGUUUCCUUGUUCGAAGUUAUUUCUGUUUUCUCACUCGGAUUCUAGAUUCGAGGUCUUGUAGCCAAAUUUCUACAUUCUGUUAUUAAGAAGAGAUUUACGUUUCUCAGGUUCAUCUCUCCUCUCUUUUGUUUAUUCGUUGUUACUACUGUGAAUCUAAGUAUUGGAAUAGCUAUUUUGAGAUUGGGAUUUGAAUUACAUAUGCUAUAAACAGGUGUGGUUGUCUCAUUUGGUGCAUUUAGAUGCUGAUAGUGUUAUGGAUUAGACUUGUUAGGUUCAUGCUUGGAUAUUUCACAAAGUGUUAUAGUUUAUUUUAAUUGGUUUGGCUUAGUUGUGUUCACGUUAUUGACUUUAAUGUUUUGAUCCAUGUUUCUGUCGUGAAUUUCAGUUGAUUGCUAAGUAUCAGUAGAUAGAACAAUGGUAUUUGCCUUUAUUAACUUGUUUCAAGCGUGGGAUGUAUAUAGGAGAUUUUCACUUAUCACUGUUGGAACCCAUAUUUACGUGCUUUGGAAUAUAUUUUGAGCUUGUUUGAACUAGGUUGGUUUUUAUUUUUUUCUCUUUUAUUAGUUUCUUCUUUUAAUGCUAGAAUGGUUUGAAUGUCAGUAGUUCCCUUUUGUUGUUAAACUUUAUAGUUGAACCAAAAGUAUAGUAUUAUUAAUGAUUGGGAUUUGGAGGGCCAGUGCAUUAUACCUGAUGAAGAGCAAUCGUCUUCAAUUUUUUGAAACUAUUGUUUGGAGCAGAAAUGGUGCGAGUCUUCACAUGCAUGUUACAUAUUUGGUUACAUUAUUUAAUAUUCCCAUGUGCUUAAUCUCAUUUAUGUAUUCUUUAUGAGUUUUUGGGUCUUGAUAUACUAGUCAUUUGGCAAGUGGUUAAACAGAAAAUAGGUUCUGUAGUUCUUUUUUAACCAAUUUGAAUCAACUUGGGUAACUUAAUUGGUUUUCUAAAAUAUCUAAUUUUAUUUUGGGUUGGUAAUUUUCAAGAAUUUGGCACCGAUGAAGGGUAACAAAGAACUGAGGGAUUAGACAUCCAUUAAUAGCUCUUUCAAUGCCUUACUUUCACUUUAUUUUCAUUAGCUUUUAGUUAUUCUUUGAUCUUUGUCUCUUUAAGGGAUUUGGGACGCCUAUCUGCUUGCUUCUUGUCUUGCUUUGUGUUGGAUCUAUGAUUUCAACAUGCUGAAUGAAUUGAACCAUGGGAAUUGGGAAGGCUAGCUCAUUAGUGAUUAUUGUAUUCAUAUGUUUUAGGUUUAGUCUGGGCCACAUACAUGAAAAAAACAAAAGUUAAAGAAGAAAUGAACAUGGAAUUAAUCUUUAUUUCCUUUAGUUUUAUUUUACUUUUAUUACCAUGCCCGUUAGGAGCAUACUUAGACCGUUAUUAUUCGUUAAUAUUCGUAGUUUGCUUUAGGCGAGCUUAUAGUUGUGAUAAGUAAUUUUCAAAUCCGGGUGUACAUUUCAUGUGACUCGACUUUAAUUUAUAAUAAUGUUAAAUAAAUUAAACAUGUCGCGAACCGCGGGUGCAUUUCAUGUAGCGUGGUUUACGAUUUAUUUUCAAAAACAAACAAGUGUAUGGCGAUUAUGAAUUUCCUUAAAAACAUUAAAAGCGAUUAGAAAGUUAAAAAUGCUCGUAGGUAUAAAAUAUGUAAUUGACCAGAUAAUUAGGAAAAUAAUAAUAGUUGAGAGACCGUGCUAAAACACGGAACCCGAGAAUGCCUAACACCUUCUCCUGGGUUAAUAGAAUUUCUUACCGGAUUUCUGUGUUUCGCGGACUGUAAAACAUAGUCAAACUUUACUCGAUUCAGAUUUUUAAAUUGGUGACAUGGGACACCAUAAAUAAUCCCAAGUGGCGACUCUAAAUUUGAAUAAAUAAUCCCGUUUCAAUUAUUGUCACUUUAAUUAGAAAAAUUCCCCUAUACUCUUUUCGAGGUAGAAAAAAGAGGUAUUACAGCUCUGGUGACUCUGCUGGGGACCGAACCUAGCAUCUCUGGUUUAAGGUUCAGAAUUCGAGCUUAGAAUAUCUGUUAUAGUUGACUUUAUUUAUUAUCUAAUUUUUAGGUGUUUGAGCCUAAUGUGCUAAAUGUUAUUUUUUACCGCUUUGAUAUUGUUUGAACCGUAUAUAAAUUAUUACGAAACUAUCUUCUCUCUAAGUCUUCUAAAUCAUCUGGGAAGUGUGCACUUCGUGUGACUUCUGUUCUGUUAGAGUCAUAUCCCAAUUUUAGAACGAUGUUCGGACAAGUGGCAAAGCCGGUGAAGCUUCUGUAUUCACGGUACGCUACCCCCCCGGCUUGAGCUGUCCGCUCGGGUAAGCCAGGUCUAGAACAAAUACACCCAGAUUUUUAAACCUAGAACAUAGCCUCAUGUCGGAUCCCAAGUAGGAACGCUUGUUUGCAUCACAUGCAUUUGACUUUGGGGACUCAACAUAGGGGUUGGGUCCGUCUAGGACAAGUGUACUCUAAAUGGAAGACCAUCCUGAUGCAUUCUACGUACUACUUGUACAUUUAUUUGAUUCGGAUUGCAUGUUGACCACCUUCUAGAAUAGGGAAGAAAAAUUGAGAAAAAUCAAAUUGAGGUAGGAGAGAGGAAAUUACCCGCCUUUGAAAAACCUGGUGUCCAAAAUAUCCCGAAACUCUGCCGAAAUAUUUGAAAAACAAAAAGGAAAAAAGGAGGAAAAGUUAUUUCGAAGUGUUUAUAUUUUUUUGUUGCGUCAAAACUGACCGAACUACGCGAGUUUGAUUCUCACCGGAUGUGGUAUACGUAGGCAACCCUCAUCGGGUCUAGCCCCGCUUUUGCAAAAAUGACCAAAAACAUGAAAUGUUGUCAUUUUUGUCACAAAUAAAGUUAGGCGAUGCCAUUUUUGUUUAAAUAGCCAUAAAUGUCCUGACAAGGCGCCGAAAGGCUGUUUUUGCAAGAAUUGUCACCUAUGAUUUUUUUUUCAAAUUUUUGGCCAUUUAGCGAACACAACCCUAAAAUAUUCUUUCAUGAAGUGCUGAAGGGUCGUAUUUGCAAAGGUGUUUUGUUUGAGCAAGUUCUUUUUGUUUGAGUUGCAAUUUUGCAAAAAAUAAUAAUUUUCCUUUUGGGUCAAAAUAAAUCAUGUUUUUUUACCAAUCACUUUAAAUAAAUGUACAGGAUGAGCACUAUUGAAAAUGAACCUUUCAAAGUUGUAGAGAAAAUUCGAUAGGACUCCAUAUGUAGCGGAAUGACUGGAGGAGAUCAGCAGGGUGAUGCGAUAAAAGUUUUAGGUGGGCUCACCGGUUGUUGAAAAUUAAACCAGGGAUUGAUAUAGUUGAAGCUUUGAUAUCGUUUUGGGACCCAUCUCACAAUGUAUUCCACUUCUCUGAUUUUGAGUUAACCCCUACACUUGAGGAGAUAGCAGACUAUGCUGGUGUUAACGGAAAUCUCAAGUUCCGAUAUCCAGUGGCACCAAGAGCUGUAACCUCUCACAAGUUUUUGGACCUCCUGAGUAUUAGCCUAGAAGUCAAAGAUGGGAACUUGCUGAAGGAUUCUGCACAUUCCACUUCCUAUACCGCCGUUAUGGGAACCCCCACGAUUUUGAGGCUCCGGAUACCGGUUUAAGUCAUCGUGGGAAUAAAGACAAAUGGGAGGCACGUCGAGGAUUGGCCUUCAUUGUGGCAUUCUUAGGCACUCUAAUCUGCCCAAGGAGUGACAAACACAUAGAGUUGGGGCUCGCAAGAGUAGCUGACUUCAUGAUCUAAAGGGCCGAUGGCACUAUUGUACCAAUGAUCUUAGCAGAGAUUUAUCGAGCACUAACUGUUUGUCGAGCAGGGGGAAAAUAUUUUGAGGGUUGCAACAUGCUUCUACAACUCUGGAUGGAAGAACACCUUUGCUAUCGUCUGGGGUACAUGAACUAUGGUCUGACUAGUCUUAGCUACAUUGAAGAACACGAAUACCAGGUGGAUGGUCAUGAAUUUCCAAAAGGUACAGAGGCAUGGUUCGCACAUUUGGGUUCUUUGACUACAAGCAAAAUUGAGUGAACACUUGGUUGGCUCCCGAUCAACGAAUUUAUCUAUAUGGAGGUCGGAGUGUGCUAUCUAUUAUUAAUGGGUCUUCGGAGUAUUCAGCCGUAUGCUCCACACAAGGUUCUACGCCAGCUGGGCAGGUACCAAACUCUCUCUCAUAUGAAGAUUUAAGUCGACAAGUCAUUGAACUAAGUCUAAAAGCUGCAUUCCCGGAAGAAAAAGUUCGCCAUAUUUGGCAUUAGUGUAGGUACCUGGAGCCGCACACUCGAGUAUGGGAUUUUUUUCAAGGGUGAGGUAGAGCCUAGUUUGAUGGCUUGGUAUGGUAAAAGGGUUCAAGUCCAUCGAGAGCCUGGACGACCUGCCAAAAGGCCCCACGUACAACAGUUCACUGAUAAGGUACAUGAACAAUGGGCCUGGUUGACCAAAUAAAAUAAGUAAAGAGCCACCAUAAGCAAGUUGGAAAAACAAGUCAUAGAUCUUCAAUUUGAGAGUGGUUUUCAAGCCGUUGUGGAUGAGGGUGAAAAGAAAAGAUUGGCGUAAGAAAAUGAAGCUCUCCGAACCCAAAUCCGGAAGAUGAAAAUAGUAGCUGAGAACCCUGCCAGAAGUGAAAAGGAUCAGAAACUUAUAAACAACCUUAGGCGGAAUGUAUGUGACUAUGGGUUUGAUUUGGAAAAGACCGAGGGCGAACUAGAAAAGGCCCGAGAAAAGUUGGCCAGGAAUGCGAAGGAAUGGGCACGUUUCGUUCAACAGUUGAAGGAAAAAUACGACAAAUGAAUCAUGGGGUUGGAGAAAAAGAUUAGUACCCUUGAGAGCGAAAUGUCCAAGCAAGCAAAGAACUUCAAAGCGGAAAGAGAACACUUCUACGCCUUGAUGUCACAACUAGAAGAGGAUCUCCGACAAGAGAAAGGCGUCAUCAGGGAGAGGGUUAGAAGGAUUGCUGAGUAUAUUGUGAUGAAGUGCAAUGAAUGCGAGGACAUGACCAGGUCCAUGUUCUUCGCUGCAGUUAUAAUUUUUGUCCAUCAGAUAAUGGAUGACCUAUAUCUUCUCCAAGAAGAUAUGGCACGUAAGCUCGCAGCGAGACCGACCGAUGUCCCGCGGGCCCCUAGAGCAGUAGUUGAGGCACUUAUGUAUUUCUGAUUUUAUUUUUCGAGUCUGUAUUUUCAAUUUCUUUUGGAGUCUGUUAGUCCACUUUCGAGUCUGUAUUUUCAGUUUCUUUUACAGUCUGUUAGUCCACUUUCGAGUCUGUAUUGCAGUUUCUUUUAGAGUUUGUUAGUUUUUAUGUUUAGGUCUGUAGGACGGAGUCGUUGUAAUAGAGGAAACUCAGAAUGUUUUAUUUUAUGAAAAUUUGAAAACCCAAAAAUAUUUCUUUCUUUUAUUUUGCACGUAUCCCUGAACUACGUAAUGAUCUGAUUCAUGUGGAGUAAUGAUACGUAGGAAAUCCCCAUAGUAUUCAAUCAUAACCAUAAAAUGAAAAAGAAAAAUGAGAGAAAAUAAAAAGAAAAGAAAUUGAAUGGAGAGAACUAAUGGAAAAACGAGGGAACAAAAGCGAGUGCAAAAAAUUUAAAAAAAAGGGAGUGACAAGAACCGAGUGGGAAAAUCAAUGGCGACAGAAAAGGGCAAUAGUGAAAAAAGAGAAAAAAGGGAGAAGAGAAAGUGCAAAGUGAAAAGAGUUGGUUAAGGCCGGGAUGAAAUAUGCAACUGUUCAAAUACAUUGUAGAAACUUUUAAUUCUAUAGGCGUAUUGCAUCCCAAAUGUGCGGUUGCCUAUCUGUUAAAAUCUUAAACACUAACGAGUUUGAUGUCGUCAUUGAGAGCAGGAAGGUGGUUAGUUUGUUUGGCAUUCUGGUAACCCACCCAUACAAUACAGGUCUAAACACAAGAUGAUCAUGACUGGAAAAGAAUUGGAUGCGAGUGUUAUUGACCCGCCGAGAGAGGAGGAGGAAUCUGAGUCUGGUUUGAAAGAGGAGUUACAUAAGCUAACGCACCAAAUGGCCGAAAUGUACCAAGCAUGGAUGAAAGGGCAUCCUCCACCAUCAAACCCUACCAACCCUGCUUUCAUCCCACCACUAGCUCAAUCUCAAAAGCCCCCCGUUAUUGAUCUAUCCCCACAACACGCACCACCUUCAAAAUCCCAGAUCACUACUCAUACACUCCCUACUUUGAACUUCCUGUCAAAACUGAGAGGCCACCCAAAAACACUGAGCAAGAGGAGAUAUUUAGGAAGGUAAAGAGCUUGGAGUAGUCAUUGAGAAAUAUGCAAGGGUUAGGAAGCCAAGUAAACAUGGCUUAUAAGGAUAAAUGCUUAUUUCCUGAUGUCCAGCUACCUGUCGGAUUCAAAAUGCCCAUGUUUGACUUGUAUAACAGGCAUGGAGACCCCAUGGCCCACUUGAGAGCAUUUUGCAGCAAAAUGAGGGGAGCCGGUAGGAAAGAUAAACUGUUGAUGGCGUAUUUUAGCCAAAGUCUGAGUGGUGCAGCAUUGGAGUGGUAUACCCACCAGAACAACAUCAGGUGGUACACUUGGGAUGAUCUGGCCCAGGCUUUUGCUCGACAUUUCCAGUGUAAUGUAGAGAUUGUCCCAGAUCAUUUGUCUUUGACUGAGAUAGAGAAAAAGCCCAGUGAAAGUUUCAGGGAGUAUGGUUUCCAUUGGAGAGAACAGGCAGCACGCGUCAACCCUCCAAUGGAGGAAGAUGAAAUGGUAGAGUAUUUUCUUUAGGCCUUGGAGCCUACUUACUUUGGUCAUCUGAUCUCGACCAUAGGUAAGUCUUUCAAUGAAGUGGUAAAAAUGAGAGGAAUGGUAGAGGAAGGACUCAAAUCAAGCAAGAUCAUGAGUUACUCUGCCAUCAAAGUAACUACACAAGCAAUCCAGAAUGGCACCAGAGGUGUGUUAGGGAAAAUAAGAAAGAAGAUGUUGCUAUGGUCGUCUCAGGAUUGUGGCAUGUCCUAAGGGGCUCCCUCAUCACUACAACUAGCCUCGACCCCAGCCUCAAACCUACACCCAAACUCGGUAUAAUCCACCCCAACACUACUUCCCACCACUAGAGCCGCAAUAUUCAGUCAGUCCACCCCAAUACCAUGUCCAUCACGCACAGUCAUAUGCCCAACCCCCUCCUUACCCGUAAUGGCAUGCCCCAGCUCCAUAAAACUCUUAUCUACUUCCACAAACAUACCGAAACCCUACUAGUCCAAGCUUUCGAUCCAGGAUAGAGUAUAGAAAUGAAAGGCUUCAGUGGAAGAAAACUUUCACCCCGCUUGGGGAGUCUUAUACCAACAUAUUUCUAAGGUUGAGGCAGUUGGAUGUUCUGAGGCCAAUUGAGUCAAAAUUACCAAACCCCCGUCCAAAGAACCUGGAUUAUUCCCUCAGAUGUUCAUAUUGUUCUGAUUCUCCGUAGCAUGACACAAAAAAGUGUUGGAAUUUGAAAAAUGCCAUCCAGGAGCUUAUUGAUACAAACCAAAUUGUGGUCCAGAGCCCAGAAGCGCCCAAUAUCAAUCAAAAUCCGUUGCCAGCCUAUGCCGAAACACACAUGAUUGAGAUAAUGCAUAAGGAUAGGGAGACCAAGAAGACUUCAAAGUCUGUUAUGAUGAUCCGUGCCAUUGAAAGUAAGCCAUUCAAAGCUCCAGUUGUUACAAAGGCAACAUCUACGAUAGCUGAAUGGCUGACAGAAAAGCCAAGCAUGCCCAAUGAUAAGUCGCCUGUGGUAGUCUCGAAGGGGUUCCCGGAUGAUGUUGCAACAAAGCAAGGAAAGACAAAAGUGGUCGUGCCGGGGGUAGCAGGUAAGCCUGUCAUUAUUGUGGAAGGGGCUCACAUUGACAUUGUUAUUAUUAAACCUGUGACCCAAUUGCCGAUAGAUAACACCAAGGCUGUUCCAUAGAAUUACAAGUGAGUGAUAGUAACUUAUAAAGGGAAAGAAGUGGAAGAAGAAGUUAAUGAAACCCAGGGUUUGACUCGUUCGGGGAGAUUCUUUGCCCAAGAUGAAUUAAGGAAAGCUAAGCCACUGAAAGAUAGUCCAAUUCUAGUGAAGAAACCAGUUACCGAAAAGGAGGCGGAAGAUUUUUUGAGAAAAAUGAAGGUGCAGGAUUACUCCAUAGUAGAACAAUUGAGAAAGACCCCCGCCCAGAUUUCUCUUCUAUCAUUGUUGAUACAUUCAAAUGAGCACCGCCAGGCCCUCAUGAAGAUUUUGAAUGAAGCUCAUGUCCCUGACAAGAUGACAGUGAACCAUUUGGAGAAAAUUACCAAUAAGAUAUUUGAGUCAAACAGGAUCACCUUCUCGGAUGAUGAGUUGCCUUUGGAGGGUAUGAAACACAACCAGGCUCUUUAUCUCAUAGUGAAAUGCGAAGAUUCUAUGGUCAUAAGGGUGUUAGUUGACAAUGGGUCCAGUGCAAAUAUUUGCCCUCUCUUCACUCUGCACAAGUUGAAAAUUGAUGAUGAGUGGAUACCCAAGAACACUGUAUGUAUCCUAGGUUUUGACGAAGGGGGAAAAGAUUUUGUUGGCAAUAUCGUGCUCGAACUAACAAUAGGACCAGUUGAAUUUACCAUGGAGUUCCUGGUACUGGAUGUGGCCGUCUCUUACAAUUUAUUGUUGGGUAGGCCCUAGAUAUAUGUUGCCAAAGCAGUCCCGUCUUCUUUGCACCAGAUGGUAAAGUUUGAGUGGGACAAACAUGAAAUUGCUGUGCAUGGUGAUGAGAACUUAUGUGCUUACAAUAAUACAUCUGUCCCGUUUAUUAAGGCUGAAGCUGAUAAUGGGCCUUGGGUGUACCAAGUUUCCAAAACAGUGUCUGUUGAGAAGGUUCCGGAAGGGAAAUAUAUUCCAGGUCCAAAGCUAGCUUCUGCGACCGUUAUGGUAAAUGGUUUUGUGCUGGGAAAGUGUCUGGGUGCAUCUUUGAGAAGGUUCCGAAAGGGUAAUAUAUUCCAGGUCCAAAGCUAGCUUUGCAACCAUUAUGGUAGCAAAUGAGAUGUUGAAGAAUGGUUUUGUGCCGGGCAAGGGUCUGGGCGCAUCUUUGCAUGGUAUCGUGCAGCCAGUGUCUCUACAUGAAAAUCUAGGCACAUUUGGUCUGGGGUUCAAUCCUACAUAGGAUGAUGUGAAAAAGGCUAAAAAGUUGAAAAAGAAGGCAUGGUCGCUCCCUAAGCCUAUCCCACGCCUCUCCAUGUCUUUCGUUCAAUUUAGGGGUUGUGAAGUGUCCGGUGUAAGCAGUUCCAAAGCAUGUGGUUGACUUUGAUGAAGAGUUGAUUGAAAGGUUCCAGAGUCUAUUUGAUGAGGUGAACAUGGUAGAAAUUGGGGAUGGUUCCAUUAAAGCAGACGUGCAGUUUAUUGGGAUAAAAGUGAAGCUUAACAAUUAGAAUGCUACUCCUCUCCCUACUCGGAAGGAGUCUUGGUAGUUUGCUUUGUUUUCCUUACUAUUAUCUGGAUUAUUGUAGGGUUGUAAUCCAGAUUUUUAUUUUUUACUUGUUUUGAUGUACAAACCUUCUUAUGCUUUAUUUUCAAUGAAAUGCAAUUUCCCUUUUCCAUUACUCCUGAUAGUGUUAUUUUUUUUCUUUCUUUGUACAGUUUCUUUUUAUGUCUGGUUUCAAGACAUGACAUGCAUGAGGAAUCUUCGGUCAAGUCUUAAAAGUCAAUCUAACUCUGAAAUAAUAAUCAAAAACAUAGAGUGUGAUGAUGAAAUAGAAUAUGAUGAAGAUGAGGCAUUUGAGGAAAUUAGUAAAGAACUAAAUCCAUUUUAAGAGAAACCCAAGCCUAAUUUGAAUGAAUUGAAACAAUCAAGAUAAUAUUACGGAAACCAAGAUAAGUGUACGCUUGGAACCACAAAUCAAUGAAAGAAAUAAUCAAAGCACUGUUUAAAUAUAAAAACAUUUUUGCGUGGUCAUAUGGUGACAUGCCAGGUUUGAGUACUGACUUGGUAGUUCAUAAAUUGCCAACCGAUCUGACAUUCCAUCCUGUCAAGCAGAAGUUACGGAAGUUUAAAACUGACAUGAGUGUGAAGAUCAAGGAAGAAAUCACAAAACAGUUGAAUGCAAAGGUCAUUCAAGUCACACGAUACCCCACCUGGUUAGCUAAUGUUGUGCUAGUACCAAAUAAGGAUGGUAAGACCAGGGUGUGCGUUGAUUACCGCGAUCUCAACAAAGCAAGUCCAAUGGAUAACAUCCCAUUGCCAAAUAUCCACAUUUUGAUUGAUAACUAUGCCAAGCAUGAGAUAGGGUCUUUUGUGGAUUGUUAUGUGGGAUAUCACUAGAUCUUGAUGGAUGAGGAAGAUGCAGAAAAGAUAGUGUUCAUCAUGCCAUGGGUGACAUAUUUCUACCGGGUAAUGCCAUUUGGUCUGAAAAAUGCUUGGGCAACCUAUAUAAGGGCAAUGACUACUGUAUUUCAUGAGAUGAUACACAAGGAGAUUGAGGUUUAUGUAUAUGAUGUGAUCAUAAAGUCAAAGCAACAGUUCGACCAUGUCGGGGACUUAAGAAAGUUCUUCCAAAGCUCCACAGGUACAAUCUUAAGCUCAACCCUACAAAAUGUGCAUUUGGUGUUCCGUAUGGGAAACUGUUGGUGUUCAUAGUCAGUCGGCAAGGCAUGAGUUGGAUCCGUCAAAAAUCAAAGCUAUCCAAGAAUUGCCACCCUAAGGAAUAAGACUGAGGUGAUGAGUUUGCUCCGGCGCGUAAACUACAUCAGCAGGUUUAUUGCUCAACUUACGAACCCUUGCGAGCCCAUUUUUAAGUUGCUGAAGAAGGAUGCUACAAUCAGAUGGACUGACGAGUUCCAGGAGGCAUUUGAUAAGAUCAAGGGGUACCUAUCAAACCCACCUGUGUUGGUCCCGCCGGAACCUGGGAGACCUUUAAUUCUCUAUUUGAUAGUCUUGGAUAAUUCAUUCUGUUGUGUGUUAGGUCAACAUGACAUCAUGGAUAGGAAGGAGAAAGCCAUCUAUUAUCUCAGCAAAAAGUUUACAUAUGAGGUUAAGUAUACCCCCCUUGAAAGGACAUGUUGCACCCUGACUUGGGUAGCACAAAAGUUGAAGCAUUAUCUGUCGUCCUACACUACUUACCUCAUUUCUCGUUUGGAUCCUCUAAAGUAUAUCUUGCAGAAGCCUAUGCCUAUAGAAAGACUUGCAAAGUGGUAGAUUUUGCUCACAGAGUUUGACAUCAUCUAUGUGACUGGAACCGCGAUGAAAGCCCAAGCAUUGGCCGAUCAUUUGGCCGAGAACCCAGAGGAUAAAGAGUAUGAACCAUUGAGAACUUAUUUUCCUGAUGGAGAGGCAAUGCAUAUUGACAAGGUGGAGCAGGAUGAAAAGCCAAGUUGGAAACUUUUCUUUGAUGGAGCCGCUAACAUGAAAGGUGUCAAAAUCGGGGCUGUGCUCAUUUCUGAAACAGGGCAUCACUACCCUGUUACGGCCCAGCUUCGUUUUUAUUCUACCAACAACAUGGUUGAGUACGAGGCAUGCAUUUUGGGUUUGAGGUUGGCUAUAGACAUAGGAGUCCAGGAAGUCUUGGUCUUGGGAGAUUCGGAUCUUUUGGUGCACUAGAUUCAGGGAGAAUGGGAGACUCAGAAUUUAAAGCUCAUGCCGUAUCGACAAUGUUUGCAUGAUCUUUUUCAAUGUUUCAGAUCAGUAGAAUUCAGCCAUAUUCCGAGGAUCCAUAAUGACGUUGUCGAUGCCUUGGCUACAUUGGCAUCAAUGUUACAUCAUCUGGACAAAGCUUAUGUUAACCCUUUGCAUAUUCAAGUUCGUGAUAGGCAUGCCUACUGUAAUGUGGUUGAGGAGGAACUUGAUGGUGAAUCAUGGUUCCAUGAUACUUGGGAAUACAUCAAGAUGGGGGUAUCCGGUACAGGCCAUAGGUGAUCAAAAGAGAACAAUUCGACGUUUGGCUAGUGGGUUUUUCUUGAGCGAGGGAAUUUUGUACAAGAGAACUCCAGAUCUUGCGCUGUUGAGGUGCAUAGAUGAUAAACAGGCCACGUCUAUCAUGGCCUAAGUGUAUGCCGGAGUUUGCGGUCCGCAUAUGAGUGGGUAUGUUUUGGCAAAAAAAAUCUUCGAACAGGGUGUUAUUGGCUCACCAUGGAACGAGAUUGCAUUAGCUUUGUGCGCAAGUGUCAUCAAUGCCAGGUACACGGUGAUUUGAUUCAUUCUCCACCAUCUGAGAUGCAUACAAUGUCUGCACCUUGGCCUUUUGUUUCUUGGGGCAUGGAUGUCAUUGGACCAAUUGAUCCAGCGGCAUCAAAUGGGCACAUGUUUAUUCUGGUGGCCAUCGAUUAUUUCACUAAGUGGGUUGAAGCUAUGACUUACAAAUCUGUGACCAAGAAGGCAGUGGUCAAUUUUGUUCAUUCGAACCUCAUUUGCCGGUUUGGAAUCCCCAAGGUAAUCAUCACGGACAAUGGUGCUAAUCAUAACAACCAUUUGAUGAAAGAAGUAUGUCAACAGUUCACGAUUAUGCAUCGAAAUUCCACCCCGUAUCGCCCCAAGGCAAAUGGAGCUGUUGAGGUGGCUAACAAGAACAUAAAGAAGAUACUUCGAAAGGUGGUGCAAGGUUCUAAGCAAUGGCAUAAAAAGUUGCCUUUUGCUUUGCCGGGUUACCGCACUACUCUUCGCAUUUCAGCAGGUGCAACGCCUUAUUUGUUGGUAUAUGGGACUGAAGUAGUUAUACCCACGGAAGUCAAAAUUCCAUCCCUCUGAAUUGUUGCUGAAGCUGAAAUUGAUGAUGAUGAGUAGGCAAGACCCAAUUGGAGCAAUUAAGUCUGAUUGACGAGAAAAGACGGGCGACAGUAUGUCAUGGUCAGUUGUAUCAAAAGAGAAUGACAAGAGAAUACAACAAGAAGGUGCUUCCCCGGAAAUUUGAAGUGAGUCAGCAAGUAUUGAAACACAUCCUUCCAUAUCAGGCUGAAGCUAAAGGCAAGUUUGCCCCAAAUUGGNNNNNNNNNNNNNNNNNNNNNAAAGAUAUUAUGUAUGAUUUCUUUGGUUUGUCUAAUUGUCUUGUUUGUACUUGGCAUGUUUUGAAUAUUGGAGUGACGAAGACAUUUUAUUCUGCUAUCUAAACACUUUAUCAUUUAUUUCCCCUUUUGAGCCUUAUUUAUUUUCUUUCAUACCCCUCUUUUGGAAUCAGAAACAGAAUUUAGAAAUAUAGAUAAAUAAAAAAAGAGAAAAGAGGAAAAAGAGAAUAAAAAAAAGAGAAAGAGAAAAAAUAAAGAAAAAGUAAAGCCAAAGAAAGAAAAGAAAAAGGAAAGAAAAGAAAAGAAAAAGAAAAAAGAGAGAGAAAAAUAACCAAACAAAAGCAAUUCCUAUGUCUUGAACUUUGUUCCAACUGAUUCCUUUUCAGGAUACAUAGGCAACCUCACGGUUAGGUCCCAUAAAAAUAAAAAUUUAAAAAUGCCCCAGGCAAAGAAAUUGGGAUAGAAGUUAUGGUUUUUGUAAGAAAUCUGAUUCCAAAAGUUGUAAUUCUGAGCCCUUUUAAGCUGUUUUGAGCUUGUAUGAUAUUCUUUCUUUCUAACCCUAUCCAAAAGUCUACAUUACGGUCCAAAGAAAGACCUUCCGAUCAAUCUUUGAGAAUGCCAAUUGAGCGAGAUAGAGGUAUGAUUCAUCAGGGGCAACACUCCGUUCUACACAAGGAAAUGAAUAAAUGAGAGAGUCUUAUUGGUGUAAACCCUCACGGGCACCGUAAGGCGAUGGAAAGCUGAGAGAAAACUAAAAUGAGAGAAGCUUAUUGGUGAAAACCCUCGCACGCAUCGUAAGGCGACAGUGAGUCGAGAGAUGAUUAAAUGAGAGAGGUUUGUUGGUAAAAACCCGUCAGGGCACCGCAAGCCGAACGAGGCUCGUGACUCUGCAGAAAGAUUAGAUUAUAGAAAAUCCCGGUUUCGAAGUAUGAAGAUGGGUCAUAAAAUGAAUAAUGAUUAGGUGAACUGUCUGGACUGAUUAGUCCGAAAUGCAUGUCAUGAUCAUUGGUACCAAAUUCUUCGCUCAGAUAAGUCUCUUUUCCUUUUCUUCCUCAAACAGUCAUCCUGUUUCGAAUUUUCUUCUUUGCUUCUACCUCUCAAAGUCAUUGCAUUUAAUUUUAUUUCGGGUUAACUUCUCUAAGUCUUUUCCAAUGUUAGCCUUGUUAAGCAAGCAAGGAGGGAUUUCAAAGCUUAUUUCCAACUUUCAAAUUGCACAAAGCAAAGUGUAGCCAAAGCAUACCAGAAAUAGCAAGAUGUAAAAUGGAAAAUAAGGUGUUAGUGGGAGUUCAAGUAGUCGAGUGGUUUCGUGAACUUUGGGGAAUACAGAGGUUCAAACUGGAAGGACGGAAAUGUAAAACAACAGGAUGAGUGUGGGGCACUCGGGUCAUUCAGGGUCCUGUGGUUGAGACUCAAUCAGAAGGUCAAACAAUUCUUUGCCAGUCUAAGGCAGCUAAUCGGAAUAAAGCAUGGCAAGGGAAAAGCCACCUUCAGCAAGAAUGCCGCAAACUAACCACCACAUUUUCAAACUAAUAAAAAUUUUCUAUGAUUGAAACGAGGGCAGGAAGUUUCGUUUGUUCCGGAGGAACCCUUCGUGAGGAAAGUAUGUGCCAAAUAGGUUCGACCGUAAGUUUUCAGGACCCUCCUGGAUAAUGGCAUUUAUUUUCAAAUUUUUAGGGCCUUCCUGGAUAAUGAGAUUUAAGUUCAAGUUUUCAAGACCCUCCUGGAUAAUGGGAUUUAGAUUCAGGUUUUCAGGACCCUCCUGGAUAAUGAAAUUUAAUUUAAACUUCUCAGGACGCUCCUGGAUAAUGGGAUUUAGUUUUAAGUUUUUUUAGACCUUCAUAGAUUAUAAGAUUUAGCGUAAGUUUUACCUUUAGGAAAUAGAAUUUAGCUUUGAAGUUGAGCUGUCACACCUCCUUUUUCUACCCCGAAAAGGGUAUAGAGGAGUUUUUCCAAUUAAAGUGACAAUAAUCGAAACGGGAUUAUUUAUUCAAAUUCAGAUUCGCCACUUGGGAUAAUUUAUAGUGUUCCAAAUCACAGGUUUAAAAUCCCGAAUCGAGGAAAGUUUGACUCAAUUUUACAGUCCGCAAAACACAGAAAUUCGGGUAAGGAAUUUUGUUAGCACGGAGAAGGUGUUAGACAUUCCAGGUUCCGUGGUUUUAGCACGGUCGCUCAACUAUUAUUAUUGGCCUAAUUAUCUGGUCAAUUACAUAUUUUAAACCUACAUGCAUUUUUUACUUUCUAACUGCUUUUAAUGUUUUCAAGGAAAUCCAUAAUCGUCAUACACUUGNNNNNNNNNNNNNNNNNNNNNNNNNNNNNNNNNNNNNNNNNNNNNNNNNNNNNNNNNNNNNNNNNNNNNNNNNNNNNNNNNNNNNNNNNNNNNNNNNNNNNNNNNNNNNNNNNNNNNNNNNNNNNNNNNNNNNNNNNNNNNNNNNNNNNNNNNNNNNNNNNNNNNNNNNNNNNNNNNNNNNNNNNNNNNNNNNNNNNNNNNNNNNNNNNNNNNNNNNNNNNNNNNNNNNNNNNNNNNNNNNNNNNNNNNNNNNNNNNNNNNNNNNNNNNNNNNNNNNNNNNNNNNNNNNNNNNNNNNNNNNNNNNNNNNNNNNNNNNNNNNNNNNNNNNNNNNNNNNNNNNNNNNNNNNNNNNNNNNNNNNNNNNNNNNNNNNNNNNNNNNNNNNNNNNNNNNNNNNNNNNNNNNNNNNNNNNNNNNNNNNNNNNNNNNNNNNNNNNNNNNNNNNNNNNNNNNNNNNNNNNNNNNNNNNNNNNNNNNNNNNNNNNNNNNNNNNNNNNNNNNNNNNNNNNNNNNNNNNNNNNNNNNNNNNNNNNNNNNNNNNNNNNNNNNNNNNNNNNNNNNNNNNNNNNNNNNNNNNNNNNNNNNNNNNNNNNNNNNNNNNNNNNNNNNNNNNNNNNNNNNNNNNNNNNNNNNNNNNNNNNNNNNNNNNNNNNNNNNNNNNNNNNNNNNNNNNNNNNNNNNNNNNNNNNNNNNNNNNNNNNNNNNNNNNNNNNNNNNNNNNNNNNNNNNNNNNNNNNNNNNNNNNNNNNNNNNNNNNNNNNNNNNNNNNNNNNNNNNNNNNNNNNNNNNNNNNNNNNNNNNNNNNNNNNNNNNNNNNNNNNNNNNNNNNNNNNNNNNNNNNNNNNNNNNNNNNNNNNNNNNNNNNNNNNNNNNNNNNNNNNNNNNNNNNNNNNNNNNNNNNCACGGAGAAGGUGUUAGACAUUCCAGGUUCCGUGGUUUUAGCACGGUCGCUCAACUAUUAUUAUUGGCCUAAUUAUCUGUCAAUUACAUAUUUUAAACCUACAUGCAUUUUUUACUUUCUAACUGCUUUUAAUGUUUUCAAGGAAAUCCAUAAUCGUCAUACACUUGUUUGUUUUUUAAAAUAAAUCAUAAACCACGCUACAUGAAAUGCACCCGCGGUUCGCGACAUGCUUAAUUUAUUUAACAUUAUUAUAAAUUGAAGUCGGAUCACAUGAAAUGUACACCCGGAUUUGGAAAUUAUUUAUCACAACUACGUCACGGGAAUCAUACAUGUAGCUAUGAUGAUUUACUAUAAGUGCGCCUAAAGCAAACUACAAAUAUUCAUGAAUAUUAACGGCCUAAGCAUGCUCCUAACGGGCAUGGUAAUAAAAGUAAAAUAAAACUAAAGAAAAUAAAGAUUAAUUCCAUAUUCAUUCCUUCUUUAACUUUUGCUUUUUUCAUGUACGUGGCCCAGACCAAACCUAAAAUAUAUGAAUACAAUAAUCACUAAUGAGCUGGCCUUCCCAAUUCCCAUGGUUAAAUUUGUUCAGCAUGUGGAAAGCAUAGAUCCAACACAAAGCAAGACAAGAAGCAAGAAGAUAGGCGUCUCAAAUCCCUUAAAGAGACAAAGAUCAAAGAAGAAUUAAAAGCUAAUGAAAAUAAAGUGAAACUAAGCCAUUGAAAGAGAUAUUAAAGGAUGUCUAAUCCCUCAGUUCUUUGUGACCCCUCAUCGGUGCCAAAUUCUUGAAACUUACCAACCCAAACUAAAAUUACACUUUUUAGAAAACCAAUUAAGUUACCCAAGCUGAUUCAAAUUGGUUAAAAGUAGAACUAUAGAACCUAUUUUCUGUUUAACCACUUGCCAAAUUGAUCCAGCAGAUCAAGACCCAAAAACUCAUCAAGAACACAUAAAUGAGAUUAAGCACGUGGGAAUAUUAAAUAAUGUAACCAAAUAUAUAACAUGCAUGUGAAGACUCGCACCAUUUAUGCUCCAAAAAAUAGUUUCAAAAAAUUGAAGAAGAUUGCUCUACACCAGGUAUAAUGCACUGGCCCUCCAAAUCUCAAUCUUUAAGAACACUAUAAAGUUUAACAACAAAAGGGAACUACUGACGUUCAAAACAUAAAAAUGAUCACAUUGACAACAUUCUAGCGUUAAAAGAAGUAACUAAUAAAUGAGGAAAAAAAAUAAAAAUCAACCUAGUUCAAACAGGCUCAAAAUAUAUUCCAAAGCACGUAAAUAUGGGUUCCAACAGUGAUAAGUGAAAAUCUCCUAUAUACAUUCCCCACUUGAAACAAGUUAAUAAAAGCAAACACCAUUGUUCCAUCUACUGAUACUUAGCAAUCAACUAAAAUUCACGACAGAAACAUGGGUCGAAACAUUAAAGUCAAGAACGUGAACACAACUAGACCAAACCAAUUAAAAUAAACUAUAGCACUUUGUAAAAUAUCCAAUCAGGAACUCAACGAGUCUAAUCCAUAACACUAUCAACAUCUAAAUUAACCAAACGAGACAACCACGCCCGUUUAAAGCAUAUGUAAUUCAAAUCCCUAUCUCAAAAUAGCUAUUUCAAUGCUUAGAUUCACAGUAGUAACAACAAAUAAACAAAAGAGAGGAGAGAUGAACCUGAGAAACGUAAAUCUUUUCUUAAUAACAUAAGUAAGAAAUUCGACUAUAAGAACUCGAAUUUGGAAUCCGAGUGAGAAACAGAAAUAACUUCGAACAAGGAAACGCAACCGAAAUUCACGAGCAGACCUCGAAUCAGCAACGGAAUUCCGAACCCAAACACAAACUCGAAUUUGAACUUCAAUCAAACUCCAUUUUAACAACCAAAAUUUCAAAAUUGUAACAGAGGAAACAAACCCCCUUUUUUAUUUUUUUUAUUUUUUCUGAUAUCCCAAAUAAAAGAAAAACUGAAGAGAUUUCUAUAUUUUUAAGAGAAGACCAGAAAAUCAGAUGGAAAAUCUGAAACUCGACCUAGCCGUAGGACUUUUACCUCUCAAACUUUUCUCCGAAAAUCUGUCUCUAGCCUUCCUCUUCCAAAAUUCCUCUAAUUAUCAUGCAAAAACCUAAUGAAUGAAGGGCUGGGAUCCUUUGAAAUCUAUCCCACGCUCCCCAUUCAUCCAGCAUAUGCCUUCUAGAUGCUUCCAACACGUGAAAAGAGAGUUGAGGAUGAGGGAAUCUGUCAGAGACCGUUAGCAUCUUGAUGACAUGGUGAGAUGGGGGGGGGGGUGCGAGUGAACUCGCCUGAGUUUGGCGAGUUUGGUGGGAAUAGGGCUGCGCCGUUUGGGAG
rnacentral:lncRNA from 1 species